UGAUCAAAUCAACUUUUAGAAUGAGUGCUUGGGUUAGGGGAGUGGAGUCUUUACAAGCUGUAAAUUGUAUUUCAGAUCUUAUCUGAGAACUUCGCUGCCAAACUAGAUGAACCUAACAACCCUUCCCCAGAUUACUUGCUCCAGGGAAGCCAGUUGGUUUGGUGUGGGCAGCUUUACAGAAAGGUCUAUGGGGCAAAGACCUUAAGCCUUCCAAACCACAGGCAUGUGAGAGAGCUUGGAAGCAGAUCCUCCAGCCCCACUUAAGACUCAGAUGAAUGCAGACCUACCCUGUUAACUCCUUGACUGCAGCUUCAUGAAAAGAUCCUGAGCCAGAACCACCUAGGAUCUCACUGUGGUGCCCAGGCUGGUCUUGAAUUCCUGGGCUCAAGCAAUCCUCCUGCCUUGGCCUCCCAAAGUGCUGGGAUUACAGGUAUGAGCCACUGUGCCCAGCCAAUGCUAAUAAUAUGAAGAAGCCCACUGAGUGACCAUUCCUAGAGACACUAUCAUAUCAACUUGAGACCUCAGGAGAUACAGAAAAACAAAUAUAAAAAUGGAAUUACAGGCAAGAAGGAUGUAAUCCUGGGGCCAAGGACCUUCCUCAACACUUCCUAAAACCAAAGUAGGUGGCUUAUUAGAUGCAUUCUUGGCUGCAGAGAAAAAUGAUAAGCAACUCACCCUCCC